GACAGCGUUGCUGGACUUGUGAGCACUGGGCCUUAGGCAAACAGCGCUAUGCGCAUGCACGUGGGUGCACAGCACCGCAAACCCAUGAAAAGACUCCAUGUGAACUGAGGUGUUGGCAAGAACAAGACUAAAAGUAAGAGCGUCUGCGAAAGUCCGCUGGGUGGAAGCCUCUGCCCACCGAGCGAUCGAGAAAACUGCAAGAGGGAUGCGGGCCUCCGUCGCGCUCUACCUGCACGCACCGACAACCGGGGCGGUGCUUCGCUAGACGAGCGGGUGGAGCAGCGGCGCGCUCGAUGUCGCAACACACACAGACCAAAGCAUGCUGUAUCCGUUAAGCGCUAGGAAUUUCGUAUGCACGUUCAGAUGCCAACAUGUCGCGGGGUGGUAGAGUCGAAUGCGCUGCUGGCCGGACGGCACAGCAUCGCCGCAUGAUCGCGGAAACGGCGACGGCCAGCAGCUUCAAUCUGUAACCUGUCUCCGUUUUGAUGAAUUCGCGCCAACUUGCAACGAGUUUCUGUUCUCUUUAAGCCUAUGAUAGAACAAAACGGAACAGGUUGUCCAAUUCGCAGGUACACGCAAAAAUUCUGGGUCUCCUCCCGCUGCGAUCAACGCUGGCAUUUUAGGGUAUUAUUCGGGGUCCGCUUCCUUUUCCUCUCUAGUCUCCGGUUCAAAAUACGCUGGACUCUUCUGUCACUCCUGCGCCGUGCUCACCAUUCGAAGGACGCUGAUGGCAGCGUGAGAGCACCGAUGUCGCUGGAUAUGGCUGUUGUCGACUCUUUCCAUGAAGAGACGGGAGCAGCGGUCGACCUAUCGCUUGCAAUUCUCGGCUUUAUACACAGCCUGUCGAUGUGCGCUUCGCAGCGGUGAUACAAGAAUGUGGAGAGGUGAUUCUACAUGUCCACUACAUGUCGUCCUCCGGGGGCCACUAUGCGACAUACGAAUGCUUGCUUGAUCGCUCGGUACAUGGCCUUGACGGGUACAGAAGGCGCCGCUCGAUGCCCCACGCCAUAACCGUGCCCGAUGCGGUUCGCGACGAUCACGGGCUUCAUCUGGAGGAUGUCUUCGAACAUUACUCCGGUCGCUGUACGUAGAAGCGCACACUGUUCAACUAGAUUCAAGAUCUGAGGAACGCGAUGUUGUUCAUGUUGCAGCGAGUACCGGAAAGAGAAUGCGUGUUGGAGAAUACGUCGAGAGAUUGACAUGCCUCUAGGUUCCAGUCGCGUCAAUCGGCGACCUACGAUUCAACGUUAGAGAGACAGCUGCGAUAACACAAGCCGAGUCCGCGACCAUUUUCGAUGCAAAAAGAAACAACGGGAGUCUCUCGAAGCAUAACUCGUGCGGCCUAACAUGCUACUUCCGUCGAAUGCCGCUCCGUAGCUUGCCAAAAAAAGACAAGGAUUCGGCUCUCGAUUCUCUGACGUGAGACGCUCGAUGAACUUCCGCAACGCACUUGUAAAGAAUGCGUCAAGGGGCGUUGUCUGCUUUUUUUCUUCGUCAGUCGUGCAAUACGAAUUGCAGCGCCCACGAGUUGCAUUGAAAGACGUAGAUAGAAAACUGAACUAAUGCGAGAUUUGAGCGUGCUACACGUAAGUAAAGAACAAGU